rnacentral:rRNA from 1 species
GUGGGGAAUAUUGGACAAUGGGGGGAACCCUGAUCCAGCCAUGCCGCGUGUGUGAAGAAGGCCUUUUGGUUGUAAAGCACUUUAAGCGAGGAGGAGGCUACCGAGAUUAAUACUCUUGGAUAGUGGACGUUACUCGCAGAAUAAGCACCGGCUAACUCUGUGCCAGCAGCCGCGGUAAUACAGAGGGUGCAAGCGUUAAUCGGAUUUACUGGGCGUAAAGCGCGCGUAGGUGGCCAAUUAAGUCAAAUGUGAAAUCCCCGAGCUUAACUUGGGAAUUGCAUUCGAUACUGGUUGGCUAGAGUAUGGGAGAGGAUGGUAGAAUUCCAGGUGUAGCGGUGAAAUGCGUAGAGAUCUGGAGGAAUACCGAUGGCGAAGGCAGCCAUCUGGCCUAAUACUGACACUGAGGUGCGAAAGCAUGGGGAGCAAACAGGAUUAGAAACCCUAGUAGUC